rnacentral:rRNA from 1 species
UUUCCGGGGCUUAGUGCCGGAGCUAACGCAAUAAGCACUCCGCCUGGGGAGUACGACCGCAAGGUUGAAACUCAAAGGAAUUGACGGGGGCCCGCACAAGCGGUGGAGCAUGUGGUUUAAUUCGAAGCAACGCGAAGAACCUUACCAGGUCUUGACAUCCCGAUGCUAUUCUUAGAGAUAGGAAGUUACUUCGGUACAUCGGAGACAGGUGGUGCAUGGUUGUCGUCAGCUCGUGUCGUGAGAUGUUGGGUUAAGUCCCGCAACGAGCGCAACCCUUAUUGUUAGUUGCCAUCAUUAAGUUGGGCACUCUAGCGAGACUGCCGGUAAUAAACCGGAGGAAGGUGGGGAUGACGUCAAAUCAUCAUGCCCCUUAUGACCUGGGCUACACACGUGCUACAAUGGUCGGUACAACGAGUUGCGAGCCGGUGACGGCAAGCUAAUCUCUGAAAGCCGAUCUCAGUUCGGAUUGGAGGCUGCAACUCGCCUCCAUGAAG